UACAGAGGCCACGAGCGUUAGGCGGAAUCACUGGGCUUAAAGCGUGUGUAGGUGGAUCGGUAAGUACCUUGUGAAAUCCCACGACUCAAUCGUGGAACUGCUUGGUAUACUGCCAGUCUUGAGGCACUCAGGGGCGAGCGGAACAGAUGGUGGAGCGGUGAAAUGCGUAGAUAUCAUCUGGAACGCCAAUGGGUGAAGACAGCUCGCUGGGGGUGUUCUGACACUGAGACACGAAAGCCAGGGGAGCAAACGGG
rnacentral:rRNA from 1 species